UUAGCUUGGGCUCCCAGUGUGCUAAGCAUCAAGCAUGGGGGAGGCCUGUUGGCCUGAAAUCCAUGAGGAGGAUCCCAGGGAAAGCUACUGCUGCCCCCAGCCCUGUGCAUUUGCUCACACAGGGCUGCCACGUGAAUGCCACUUUCUCCUGCAGGUCCCUAUUUCCCAUGGGCGGUGGCUCUGGCCGUGAUUCUGUCCCUUGUCGUUCUCCUGGGCAGUUUCUGCCUCUGGCGGCAGCACCGUGUGACAGAGAGGCGCCGUGCAGACAAAGCAAAGUAUGAAGCAAUGAAAGGUAAGUGCCUUUUACUGCCCCCCUGACCCCCUGACUUCACUGGCAAAACCCUGGUACCCAGCCACGCGUCCCUCCCCAUCUCCAGGGAGGUCUUGUGAC